AGGAAUAUUGGUCAAUGGGCGAGAGCCUGAACCAGCCAAGUCGCGUGAAGGAUGAAGGAUCUAUGGUUUGUAAACUUCUUUUAUAUGGGAAUAAAGUGAGGAACGUGUUCCUUUUUGUAUGUACCAUAUGAAUAAGCAUCGGCUAACUCCGUGCCAGCAGCCGCGGUAAUACGGAGGAUGCGAGCGUUAUCCGGAUUUAUUGGGUUUAAAGGGUGCGUAGGCGGGCUUUUAAGUCAGCGGUAAAAAUUCGGGGCUCAACCCCGUCCGGCCGUUGAAACUGGGGGCCUUGAGUGGGCGAGAAGAAGGCGGAAUGCGUGGUGUAGCGGUGAAAUGCAUAGAUAUCACGCAGAACCCCGAUUGCGAAGGCAGCCUUCCGGCGCCCUACUGACGCUGAGGCACGAAAGUGCGGGGAUCGAACAGG
rnacentral:rRNA from 1 species